AGGGACAGAGGUUUUGUAGGCUCUUUACAACCUGAAGCUGGGGAGACUUAGCUGACAGCUAAUGUUUGUGGAAAUGCUCCAUGGAUCAGAUCCAGAAACAUGGUGGAGGGAGUGCUAUCAUUUUCUUCUGGACCUCAUCUAAAACCAGAGGUCAAGUCACCAGCUGGGACUGCAGAACCUUCCCUGCCACUGUGCAGCUAUCCAGCACAAACUUACAGCCCCUAUCCAGAUAUCUGUGAAGACAUCUGAAAAUACAGUGCUUGAACAUCUAUGCUGCAGUAAAAUCCAGCUCUUCCUGAGCAUCUGUGCCUGGAUGGAAACCCGAUAGGAGUUGUCAUAGCAUGGACUGUGAUGAGCUGACACUGCACUGCCAUUUGCAAGCGGUGCCCAACGAAACAAAAAGCUCUUCCCUUGUCCCCUGUCAUCACCUCUGUCACAUCAAACUGCUGAGACCAACCCUUGUCUCUCUCUCUGAAAUAUAUUAACCUUGUCUCUCUCUUGUGUCACUGCUCUAAUUGAGACUUAAUGUAUUUACCUCUGUUUUUGCCACCCUCCCGCUCCCUGUUACUCGUUCUGUGUUGUGUCAGCAUCCCUAAGCACGUGCCCCCGCCUACAUGUCACACAGGCAGAGUGCCGCUGGUCAGACCUGAUAUUUGUUCAGGGCGUUCUGCAUCAUCAACAUAGUGCAUCCAUCCUGCCCUCCAUAGAGCAGCUUUCUCACUGGCAGAACCCGCUGCAGAAG